rnacentral:rRNA from 1 species
UACGGUGGGAGCAAGCGUUGUUCGGAUUUACUGGGCGUAAAGGGCGCGUAGGCGGCGUAACAAGUCACUUGUGAAAUCUCCGGGCUUAACCCGGAGCGGCCAAGUGAUACUGUUGUGCUAGAGUGCGGAAGGGGCUACUGGAAUUCUCGGUGUAGCGGUGAAAUGCGUAGAUAUCGAGAGGAACACCUGCGGCGAAGGCGGGUAGCUGGGCCGACACUGACGCUGAGGCGCGAAAGCCAGGGGAGCGAACGGG